CCCAUGAUUACCUUGCAAAACCAC
rnacentral:siRNA from 1 species